AGAGCCGCGGCAGAGGCAGAGGAGGGAGCUAGGAGGUGAGACCCGCUCCACCCUGCUCGCCUAGGCUCGGCGGAGGCUAAGAGCAGGGCAGCCUCCUCUGCCCGGCGCCCGCUGAGCCCCGGCAUCUGGAACUCAGGGCCCUGGCGCUCCAGGGGCGGGAACUGGCCGGGAGGACCGCGCGGGAGAGCACGGAUGGGCACCCUGGGCUCGAUUGCAUUUGACCUACCUCAGGAUAUCCAAAGGAGAACAGAGGGAAGUGAGGGGUUGAGAACUGACACCCUACAACGCCAGCACCUCAGUGGAAAGGAGGAAUAGAGCCCAGGAGGGAUGUGGGGCUUCUCACCUGGGGCGGGUGGGUUCUGCACCACCCUCCCACCCUCCUUCCUCCGUGUGGACGAUAGAGCCACAUCCAGCACCACGGACAGCUCCCGGGCGAUCCCAUGGGAGUAGAAGAGGUGUGAGCAGGUUGCCCAGCUGGUUAGCGGAAAUGCCAAGAUCCAGGCUCCUGAAUUUCAGCCUGGCCCUUUCUAUCUGUCUGAUACCUCCUUUACGAGUCUCUCUGCCUGCGUUGUGUGGAGCGGGCCUGCUGCUGGUUGGGGGAGUUUGCAGGUUGCCCCUAUGCAAAAAAGGACAGGAUGCAUGACUGGCAUGUAAGGUGUUCAGGAAAACCAGGAAAAGCCUUCAUCUCCUCGUCCUCCAGGCAGCACAAGCCAUUGUGGAAUCUCCACCAGGUGUACAGAACGGUGCCUCUGCGUCCUGCCACUCAGGACCUCUCAAGUCCCCGAUGUGAUGGCUCCUCAGCAUGAUCAGGAGAAAUUCCAUGAUCUUGCUUAUUCCUGUCUUGGGAAGUCCUUCUCCAUGUCUAACCAAGAUCUAUAUGGCUAUAGCACCAGCUCUUUGGCUCUUGGCUUGGCAUGGCUAAGUUGGGAGACCAAAAAGAAGAAUGUACUUCAUCUGGUUGGGCUGGAUUCCCUCUGAUAAGCCUUCCCAGUUGACUGAAAGAUGAGGCUAGGCUCUAGCAAGUUGAAGUCAAACCAGCUCCUUCAAGAAGCUUUGAGCAGAAUGAAGUGGGGAGGACCCAGCUUCCAGCCCAGGAAGCCCACUGUACCUGGAGCCAUCUGGGAUAAGACUUUGACCCAUGACUCCCAUAUCCACAGCCUGUCCAUCCUAGCCCAUCCCAGUUUAUCCUGUAUCAUUUGAGCUGGGAUUCCCACAUCCUCUGAGUUGGAAGUCCCAUCUCAAGUCUUCAAUAAAGACUCUUGAAUAUUGAAUCACAUUAA
rnacentral:lncRNA from 10 species